rnacentral:rRNA from 1 species
GUGGACGCCAGUCUGCAUGGAGCCGACCUUGAAAUACCACCCUUUAAUGUUUGAUGUUCUAACGUGGACCCGUAAUCCGGGUUGCGGACAGUGUCUGGUGGGUAGUUUGACUGGGGCGGUCUCCUCCUAAAGAGUAACGGAGGAGCACGAAGGUUGGCUAAUCCUGGUCGGACAUCAGGAGGUUAGUGCAAUGGCAUAAGCCAGCUUGACUGCGAGCGUGACGGCGCGAGCAGGUGCGAAAGCAGGUCAUAGUGAUCCGGUGGUUCUGAAUGGAAGGGCCAUCGCUCAACGGAUAAAAGGUACUCCGGGGAUAACAGGCUGAUACCGCCCAAGAGUUCAUAUCGACGGCGGUGUUUGGCACCUCGAUGUCGGCUCAUCACAUCCUGGGGCUGAAGUAGGUCCCAAGGGUAUGGCUGUUCGCCAUUUAAAGUGGUACGCGAGCUGGGUUUAGAACGUCGUGAGACAGUUCGGUCCCUAUCUGCCGUGGGCGCUGGAGAACUGAGGGGGGCUGCUCCUAGUACGAGAGGACCGGAGUGGACGCAUCACUGGUGUUCGGGUUGUCAUGCCAAUGGCACUGCCCGGUAGCUAAAUGCGGAAGAGAUAAGUGCUGAAAGC